rnacentral:rRNA from 1 species
UACUUAAAGAAGGUCCCGCCCUGCCCAAGUGAACCAAUGGUGUUCAACGGCCGCGGAUAUUUUGACCGUGCGAGGGUAGCGCAAUAACUUGCUCCUUUAAAUGAAGACUAGUAUGAACGGCAUCACAAGGGCUUAUCUGUCUCCUUUUUUAAGUCAAUGAAAUUGAUCUUCCCGUGCAAAAGCGGGAAUAAGAACAUAAAACAAGAAGACCCUGUGGAGCUUUAGACACUAAGACAGCCUCCGUAAGAAUGCCUUAAUAAGGGCUAAAACUAAGAGAUAUCUGACCUGAUGUCUUUGGUUGGGGCGACCGCGGAGAAUAAUAAAACCUCCCCUCCGCGCGGACUGGAGGAACCCACCCACCACACACCCCUCCAAAAUUAAGAGUUACCACUCAAACUAACAGAAUUUUCUGACCACUGUGAUCCGGCAUAAAGCCGAUCAACGAAUCAAGUUACCCCAGGGAUAACAGCGCAAUCCCCUUCUAGAGUUCAUAUCGACAAGGGGGUUUACGACCUCGAUGUUGGAUCAGGACAUCCUAAUGGUGCAGCCGCUAUUAAGGGUUCGUUUGUUCAACGAUUAAAGUCCUACGUGAUCUGAGUUCAGACCGGA